UCGGAGCUUUCACGGCCUUGC
rnacentral:siRNA from 1 species